AUUGAACGCUGGCGGCAUGCCUUACACAUGCAAGUCGAACGGUAACAGGUCUUCGGAUGCUGACGAGUGGCGAACGGGUGCGUAAUACAUCGGAACGUGCCCAGACGUGGGGGAUAACGAGGCAAAAGCUUUGCUAAUACCGCAUACGAUCUAAGGAUGAAAGCAGGGGACCGCAAGGCCUUGUGCGUUUGGAGCGGCCGCUGGCAGAUUAGGUAGUUGGUGGGAUAAAAGCUUACCAAGCCGACGAUUUGUAGCUGGUCUGAGAGGACGACCAGCCACACUGGGACUGAGACACGGCCCAGACUCCUACGGGAGGCAGCAGUGGGGAAUUUUGGACAAUGGGCGAAAGCCUGAUCCAGCAAUGCCGCGUGCAGGAUGAAGGCCUUCGGGUUGUAAACUGCUUUUGUACGGAACGAAAAGGCUCUGGAUAAUACCUGGGGCACAUGACGGUACCGUAAGAAUAAGCACCGGCUAACUACGUG
rnacentral:rRNA from 1 species